GUCGAACGUUGUUUUCGGGGAGCUGGGCAGAAGGAAAAGAGGCUCCGGUACCAACUUGUCUCGCCCUGCUUCAAAGCUACAGGGCNNNNGUACCCUUGAUUUCAGCCCUCCGUUUGCUGGAAUCGGAUAGUUGAGAACAAAGUGGC
rnacentral:rRNA from 1 species